rnacentral:rRNA from 1 species
GCUCGUGGAUCGAUGAAGACCGCAGCUAAAUGCGCGUCAGAAUGUGAACUGCAGGACACAUGAACACCGACACGUUGAACGCACAUGGCACAUCGGCUCGCCUCAAAACGACCGAUGUACACAUCCUUGAGUGUCUACUUACGUUGAACUAUCCUUUUGGUAAAACUCGACUACAACAUGCCACGCGGGCCUUGCCGCCGCGCUCAGCGAACCCCUCGCACGGGGUGAGGGCGCGCGCACACAGGCUGGCCGAGGUGGACGUUGUGCAUAACGGAGUGCUGGGCGCUGCCACGCGCAGCCCCAGGGCGCCGGUCCGGUGUGUGUAGGAUUGAGCGGGCGGCCGUCACUGGCCUGCACGCGCACGACGCGUGGUUCCCGGGUCGUCUGAUGUUGCGCUCGUAGCCUUCCCGAGGUCUACAAUGGUGCCAGAUGCUUACGACCGUCCCAAACGGGAGCCCGCUAGCCGUCGUGCGGUCGGUGCCUACAAGGUUCUGACGGUGCACGCGCUUGCCCCAAGUGGUCCUACACGCCCGACACACACAAACCCACUCUAACGUAGACCUCAGGUGAUGUGUGACUACCCCCUAAAUUUAAGCA